CGGGUGAGUAAUGUCUGGGAAACUGCCUGAUGGAGGGGGAUAACUACUGGAAACGGUAGCUAAUACCGCAUAACGUCGCAAGACCAAAGAGGGGGACCUUCGAGCCUCUUGCCAUCGGAUGUGCCCAGAUGGGAUUAGCUAGUAGGUGGGGUAACGGCUCACCUAGGCGACGAUCCCUAGCUGGUCUGAGAGGAUGACCAGCCACACUGGAACUGAGACACGGUCCAG
rnacentral:rRNA from 1 species